rnacentral:rRNA from 1 species
GACAGAGGCCACGAGCGUUAGGCGGAAUCACUGGGCUUAAAGCGUGUGUAGGCGGGUCCGUAAGUGUCUUGUGAAAUCCCACGGCUCAACCGUGGAACUGCUGGGCAUACUGCGGACCCUGAGCCGGCCAGGGGUCACCGGAACAAGCGGUGGAGCGGUGAAAUGCGUAGAUAUCGCUUGGAACGCCAACGGUGAAAACAGGUGACUGGGGCCGCGCUGACGCUGAGACACGAAAGCCAGGGGAGCAAACGGG